rnacentral:rRNA from 1 species
CCUACGGGAAGCAGCAGUGGGGGAUAUUGCACAAUGGGGGGAACCCUGAUGCAGCGACGCCGCGUGGGUGAAGAAGCGCCUCGGCGCGUAAAGCCCUGUCAGCAGGGAAGAAAAUGACGGUACCUGAAGAAGAAGCCCCGGCUAACUACGUGCCAGCAGCCGCGGUAAUACGUAGGGGGCAAGUGUUAUCCGGAUUUACUGGGUGUAAAGGGGGCGCAGACGGCGAUGCAAGCCAGGAGUGAAAGCCCGGGGCCCAACCCCGGGACUGCUCUUGGAACUGCGUGGCUAGAGUGCAGGAGGGGCAGGCGGAAUUCCUGGUGUAGCGGUGAAAUGCGUAGAUAUCAGGAGGAACACCGGUGGCGAAGGCGGCCUGCUGGACUGCAACUGACGUUGAGGCCCGAAAGCGUGGAGAGCAAACAGGAUUAGAUACCCCUGUAGUC